AGUAGCGGCGAGCGAACGGGGAGGAGCCCAGAGCCUGAAUCAGUGUGUGUGUUAGUGGAAGCGUCUGGAAAGGCGCGCGAUACAGGGUGACAGCCCCGUACACAAAAAUGCACAUGCUGUGAGCUCGAUGAGUAGGGCGGGACACGUGGUAUCCUGUCUGAAUAUGGGGGGACCAUCCUCCAAGGCUAAAUACUCCUGACUGACCGAUAGUGAACCAGUACCGUGAGGGAAAGGCGAAAAGAACCCCGGCGAGGGGAGUGAAAAAGAACCUGAAACCGUGUACGUACAAGCAGUGGGAGCACAGAGCAAUCUGUGUGACUGCGUACCUUUUGUAUAAUGGGUCAGCGACUUAUAUUCUGUAGCAAGGUUAACCGAAUAGGGGAGCCGAAGGGAAACCGAGUCUUAACUGGGCGUUAAGUUGCAGGGUAUAGACCCGAAACCCGGUGAUCUAGCCAUGGGCAGGUUGAAGGUUGGGUAACACUAACUGGAGGACCGAACCGACUAAUGUUGAAAAAUUAGCGGAUGACUUGUGGCUGGGGGUGAAAGGCCAAUCAAACCGGGAGAUAGCUGGUUCUCCCCGAAAGCUAUUUAGGUAGCGCCUCGUGAAUUCAUCUCCGGGGGUAGAGCACUGUUUCGGCAAGGGGGUCAUCCCGACUUACCAACCCGAUGCAAACUGCGAAUACCGGAGAAUGUUAUCACGGGAGACACACGGCGGGUGCUAACGUCCGUCGUGAAGAGGGAAACAACCCAGACCGCCAGCUAAGGUCCCAAAGUCAUGGUUAAGUGGGAAACGAUGUGGGAAGGCCCAGACAGCCAGGAUGUUGGCUUAGAAGCAGCCAUCAUUUAAAGAAAGCGUAAUAGCUCACUGGUCGAGUCGGCCUGCGCGGAAGAUGUAACGGGGCUAAACCAUGCACCGAAGCUGCGGCAGCGACGCUGAUGCGUUGUUGGGUAGGGGAGCGUUCUGUAAGCCUGUGAAGGUGUGCUGUGAGGCAUGCUGGAGGUAUCAGAAGUGCGAAUGCUGACAUAAGUAACGAUAAAGCGGGUGAAAAGCCCGCUCGCCGGAAGACCAAGGGUUCCUGUCCAACGUUAAUCGGGGCAGGGUGAGUCGACCCCUAAGGCGAGGCCGAAAGGCGUAGUCGAUGGGAAACAGGUUAAUAUUCCUGUACUUGGUGUUACUGCGAAGGGGGGACGGAGAAGGCUAUGUUGGCCGGGCGACGGUUGUCCCGGUUUAAGCGUGUAGGCUGGUUUUCCAGGCAAAUCCGGAAAACUAAGGCUGAGGCGUGAUGACGAGGCACUACGGUGCUGAAGCAACAAAUGCCCUGCUUCCAGGAAAAGCCUCUAAGCAUCAGGUAACAUCAAAUCGUACCCCAAACCGACACAGGUGGUCAGGUAGAGAAUACCAAGGCGCUUGAGAGAACUCGGGUGAAGGAACUAGGCAAAAUGGUGCCGUAACUUCGGGAGAAGGCACGCUGAUAUGUAGGUGAAGUCCCUCGCGGAUGGAGCUGAAAUCAGUCGAAGAUACCAGCUGGCUGCAACUGUUUAUUAAAAACACAGCACUGUGCAAACACGAAAGUGGACGUAUACGGUGUGACGCCUGCCCGGUGCCGGAAGGUUAAUUGAUGGGGUCAGCGCAAGCGAAGCUCUUGAUCGAAGCCCCGGUAAACGGCGGCCGUAACUAUAACGGUCCUAAGGUAGCGAAAUUCCUUGUCGGGUAAGUUCCGACCUGCACGAAUGGCGUAAUGAUGGCCAGGCUGUCUCCACCCGAGACUCAGUGAAAUUGAACUCGCUGUGAAGAUGCAGUGUACCCGCGGCAAGACGGAAAGACCCCGUGAACCUUUACUAUAGCUUGACACUGAACAUUGAGCCUUGAUGUGUAGGAUAGGUGGGAGGCUUUGAAGUGUGGACGCCAGUCUGCAUGGAGCCGACCUUGAAAUACCACCCUUUAAUGUUUGAUGUUCUAACGUUGACCCGUAAUCCGGGUUGCGGACAGUGUCUGGUGGGUAGUUUGACUGGGGCGGUCUCCUCCUAAAGAGUAACGGAGGAGCACGAAGGUUGGCUAAUCCUGGUCGGACAUCAGGAGGUUAGUGCAAUGGCAUAAGCCAGCUUGACUGCGAGCGUGACGGCGCGAGCAGGUGCGAAAGCAGGUCAUAGUGAUCCGGUGGUUCUGAAUGGAAGGGCCAUCGCUCAACGGAUAAAAGGUACUCCGGGGAUAACAGGCUGAUACCGCCCAAGAGUUCAUAUCGACGGCGGUGUUUGGCACCUCGAUGUCGGCUCAUCACAUCCUGGGGCUGAAGUAGGUCCCAAGGGUAUGGCUGUUCGCCAUUUAAAGUGGUACGCGAGCUGGGUUUAGAACGUCGUGAGACAGUUCGGUCCCUAUCUGCCGUGGGCGCUGGAGAACUGAGGGGGGCUGCUCCUAGUACGAGAGGACCGGAGUGGACGCAUCACUGGUGUUCGGGUUGUCAUGCCAAUGGCACUGCCCGGUAGCUAAAUGCGGAAGAGAUAAGUGCUGAAAGCAUCUAAGCACGAAACUUGCCCCGAGAUGAGUUCUCCCUGACUCCUUGAGAGUCCUGAAGGAACGUUGAAGACGACGACGUUGAUAGGCCGGGUGUGUAAGCGCAGCGAUGCGUUGAGCUAACCGGUACUAAUGAACCGUGAGGCUUAACCUUAC
rnacentral:rRNA from 1 species